rnacentral:lncRNA from 1 species
UUCCUUCCUAGCACUGUAUACACUAGAUUCUUUUUUAUCUUUUCUUUUUGAGAGUCUCAUUUGACUAGAUUUUUUUCUCUCUUUUCUUCCCUCCCUCCAUACCCUCUGACACACCUUUCCUUGUUUUUUUUCCAAAUGUAUUCUCUUCUUUUUCAUUAACUGUAAUUUGCCCACAUAUAUUCCUAAAUAUAGCCUACUCAGUAUGUGUAAAGUUACUCGCGUGGAUUCUUUGAAGGCUGGCCGUUUGGUAUUGGGUAACCAGUUGGUGUGCUCUACACCGGAAAAGACUGUUUCUCUGUCUCUCAGCACUCCUUAGUUGCCUGUAGUUCUUUGUGUAGGGAUGAGGCCCCAUGGGCUUUCCCCAGCCUCUAGGCCUUGGCAUGGCUGCUGGAGUGUUCCUUGUUCAGUUCAUGCUUAGGCAGUUCAUUGGUGGAGACUUUAGAGGUGUGGCUUCCUGAUAUUACUACACUUAGAUUUUCCUUUUUUAAACUGAAGGAUGUUAUAAUAUAUAGCCUCAUUCAAAAAACCAGAACGUAUACAAACUGAUCACGAAAAUUCGUCUACCAGAAAGAUUAAUUCAUAUAUGGUGAACCUUUCACCUUGAUAAUGAAAUAGAAAUUUUUGUGAUUCUGCUAAAUAAGUUGGACACCCAGAAUAGUCUAGAUGAAAGUAAGAAUUGUGUUCUGAAUUAACAGAUUCAUAAAAAUAAAAUACGCAGAAUUUAUGUUUAGAAAUUUAUCUAUAGUAUUAACUGGAAACCCAUUCCUUUUCCUCUGUCUCUCUCUCUCUCUCUCUCUCUCUGUCUCUCUGUCUCUCUCUGUCUCUCUCUCUGUCUCUCUCUGUAUCUCUCUGUGUCUCUCUGUGUCUCUCUCUGUCUCUGUCUCUGUCUCUGUCUCUGUCUCUCUCUCUCUCUCUCUCUCUCUGAUUCUCUUGUUUCUCUUUGUAGUCCUGGCUGCACUGGAAGUCACUCUAUAGACCUAGAACUCACAAAGAUCCACCUGCUUCUGUCUCCCAAGUGGAGGUGCUGUGGUUAAAGACGUGCUCCAUCACCACCCAGACUCUCAUUUUCUUCUUAUUUGGGGGAUAAUUCUUAACAGACAGAUAUAGGUAUGUGUGCUGUGACUGGGGCACUCAAUUGCUUCCAUUUCAAAUCCAGCAAACUUCUUGUGAUUCCAAGGAAUUCAUAUAAAGAAAGACUGCAUAGGUGACAAUUCAGUCUAGCGUAUCUGUCUGUCUGUCUGUCUCCAUCCGUUCCUUCCUUCUCCUCUUUCCUCCUUCUCUCCUUCCCCCUCUCGAAGUUUAACAUGGAGCAGAUACUCCUUCUGUACAUGUUACCUGGAUAAAACACAGUAUCACACUCAACUAUUUGGAGACACACACAGCCUCACUGGGGAGAGAAAAGUAGUUGCAUAGUUAUUGGGAAAUCAGGAAAAUAAUUGAAAGUGGAGAACUCUGGUCCAUUAAUCGGGAGGUUCCUUGUACGGCCAAUGAGCUUUGGUAUCCAAUUUAAUGAAAGAUGCUUUUUCUUUUUUUCACUUUUCCAGAGCAGAAAAAUUAAUUGGUAGCUAUAAUUUAAAUUUGGUUUCCUUUUAAUUGAAAGAAUGUCUAAAGGGAAAGGGAAAAAAUCUUUCCACUCAUUUUCAUUUCUUAAUUUCUUUUUUUUAAAAAGAAAAGUUUUAUUAUUCCAAGUAUUGACGUUUUCAUUAUUUUAAUUGGGAUAUUUAAUUUAUUAUACAUUAUCUCUAAGUAGAGGGAGAAAGGAAAGCGUUAGAGGCAGAAGGGUUUAGUGAACUGGCAGUCUGUUCUCGGGUGAGGAUUCAAGUCAUACGGGAAGAAGUGGCCUGGGGCAGCAUUGGAGCAAAUGCAGUUUUAGGCAGCUAACGUGAUCAUAAUAGAUUUUAUAUUUUUUUUCUGUGUUAGAAAUUAAUUUUGUUGGGGGGGUCCCUCCACAACCCACUGUGGGUGUUUGUGUGUAUGUUUUAAAGGAUUUCAUUGGCAGGUGGUCAGCCUUGAUGCUAUAUUGAAAGCCUGCUUACGUACUUGAAACAAGCUUAGGUUUAUCUUAAUUACCUCAGGUCUUAACUCAGCAUAAUUAUAUAUAUAUAAAGUCUAUGUGCUAUAAAAAAUAGACAUGUUUUUAAAUGCUUUUAAUACAGGGCUUUUUUUUUUCAUUACUCCCCUGAAUAAUUCUAAAUUCAACACAAAAUCCCAGCGUUCCUUCUGACAGGCUACGGGAACAAAGCAGCAGGCCCACAUAGGCUUGUAGCCUAUUUAAACAUCUG